rnacentral:rRNA from 1 species
UACGUAGGUGGCAAGCGUUUGUCCGGAUUUAUUGGGUUUAAAGGGUGCGUAGGCGGUCUUUUAAGUCAGUGCUGAAAUAUCCCGGCUUAACCGGGAGGGUGGCAUUGAUACUGAAGGACUUGAGUUCAGUCGAGGUAGGCGGAAUUGACGGUGUAGCGGUGAAAUGCUUAGAUAUCGUCAAGAACACCGAUAGUGUAGACAGCUUACUAGGCUGAAACUGACGCUGAGGCACGAAAGUGUGGGGAUCAAACAGG